rnacentral:rRNA from 1 species
CCUACGGGGGGCAGCAGUGGGGAAUUUUGGACAAUGGGGGCAACCCUGAUCCAGCCAUGCCGCGUGAGUGAAGAAGGCCUUCGGGUUGUAAAGCUCUUUCGGCCGGGAAGAAAUCGUGUUCUCUAACAUAGGACAUGGAUGACGGUACCGGACUAAGAAGCACCGGCUAACUACGUGCCAGCAGCCGCGGUAAUACGUAGGGUGCGAGCGUUAAUCGGAAUUACUGGGCGUAAAGCGUGCGCAGGCGGUUUUGUAAGCCAGAUGUGAAAUCCCCGGGCGUAACCUGGGAACUGCGUUUGUGACUGCAAGGCUAGAGUACGGCAGAGGGGGGUGGAAUUCCUGGUGUAGCAGUGAAAUGCGUAGAUAUCAGGAGGAACACCGAUGGCGAAGGCAGCCCCCUGGGCCUGUACUGACGCUCAUGCACGAAAGCGUGGGGAGCAAACAGGAUUAGAUACCCUAGUAGUCG